rnacentral:rRNA from 1 species
GAUUAACGCUAGCGGCAGGCAUAAUACAUGCAAGUUGAACGGCAGCACAGGUAGCAAUACUGGGUGGCGAGUGGCGCACGGGUGCGUAACACGUAUGCAACCUACCCUAUACAGGCGAAUAACCUUUAGAAAUGAGGGCUAAUACGCCGUAGUAUUACAGAUGGGCAUCUAUUUGUAAUUAAAGAUUUAUCGGUAUAGGAUGGGCAUGCGUCCCAUUAGUUAGUUGGUAAGGUAACGGCUUACCAAGACGAUGAUGGGUAGGGGAUCUGAGAGGACUUACCCCCACACUGGUACUGAGACACAGACCAGACUCCUACGGGAGGCAGCAGUAAGGAAUAUUGGGCAAUGGCCGCGAGGCUGACCCAGCCAUGCCGCGUGCAGGAAGACGGCCUUAUGGGUUGUAAACUGCUUUUAUACGGGAAUAAUAGAGUGUACGCGUACAUUUAUGCAAGUAUCGUAUGAAUAAGCAUCGGCUAACUCCGUG